ensembl:lncRNA ZNF496-DT ZNF496 divergent transcript
GAGCAGGUCUGAUUCCCAUGGCCCCUUCGCCAUCUGCUCUGCACCGAAAUUGGAUUCUCCUACGCAGAGGAGAAGGUGGAGAAGAUUCUCCGUCUUCCGGAGGGUAGCUACUGCCGGUAGCUCCGAUUUCCUUCGGAUCCCCUUUCAAGGGCAAGCAGAAGGAAAUCAGUUUCUCCAAAGAAAGUGGCCCGGCUGAGUAAGUGGGAACAAGGUGGUUGGACUGAGGCACGGGAUCCUUUAGCUCCGUUGCUCUUCUAAUCCCGUGGCCCUGGGCACCGCCACUUCCUCCUCUGAACUGCUGGAAUAAUCACUUCUGACUAGCAGAGUUACUGGGAGCCGCUGUUUGUCAGUGUUCACAUUCUGACUUUAGCAGGAGAUGGAGCGAGCGAAGGAGUGAAGCCCUUGUUUGUGAACAGUGAUUGUUUCCCGGAUGACAGCCAGAUGCCGGGCAGGGCCACGCAGAUCUUAGCUGGAGCCUACAGGUACAAAUACCACGGGUGAAGCAUCGGGAAGAGGAUCCUGCCUGUAAACCCUGCUCAAGGACUGCACCAUCAUCAUGCCCAGUGUGUGCGUGUAUUAGAGACAGACUGUUGUUAUGUUGCCCAGACUGGUCUCAAACUCCUGGCCUCAAGUGAUCUUCCUGCCUCAGCCUCUCGGGGUGUUGGGAUUACAGCUCCAGGACUCUACCUCUCAUCAAGGCUGACCAGAAGCAAGAUGAUGGAAGCCAAGAGAGCUCCUCUGCAUGCUCCACUGUCUAAGCUCUGCUCUGCAUCUGCCGUGAUUCUUCUUCCAAACAGAAAACACCGUCUUUCUUUUUGACUACAUCUGUCCUCAGAGAUGGUGCUGAUGGAUCCAUUUAUAAUUUAU